rnacentral:rRNA from 1 species
GAUGAACGCUAGCUACAGGCUUAACACAUGCAAGUCGAGGGGCAUCAUGUCGGUUGCUUGCAACCGAUGAUGGCGACCGGCGCACGGGUGAGUAACGCGUAUCCAACCUUCCCCUUAGUAGGGCAUAGCCCGUAGAAAUGCGGAUUAACACCCUAUGUUCUUCAUGGAUGGCAUCUGACGUGAAGCAAAGUUUACGCUAAGGGAUGGGGAUGCGUCUGAGUAGGUUGCAGGCGGGGUAACGGCCCACCUGGCCGACGAUCAGUAGGGGUUCUGAGAGGAAGGUCCCCCACAUUGGAACUGAGACACGGUCCAAACUCCUACGGGAGGCAGCAGUGAGGAAUAUUGGUCAAUGGGCGAGAGCCUGAACCAGCCAAGUAGCGUGCAGGAAGACGGCCCUAUGGGUUGUAAACUGCUUUUAUACAGGGAUAAAGUCGGGGACGCGUUCCCCGUUUGCAGGUACUGUAUGAAUAAGGACCGGCUAAUUCCGUGCCAGCCGCCGCGGUAAAAC